rnacentral:lncRNA from 1 species
UACAGUGAGGAAAAUGAGGUAGGGCGCGAUUAAGUAACUUGCCUAUGGUCACCAACUAGCAUGUGACAAAACCAGCAUUUAAACCACACCGACUCCGGAGUCAUUAGAGUCUACUUUGCACCAGGCACACUGCUUGAAGCAGGCAUCUUGGGUGUGCACGAUGACUUGACGACACGCUUGCCACUCGACACGCAGGUGCAUUCAUGCUCCCUUGUGCCAAGCACAGCCCCGUUCCCUAGAACCCCGACUUAAACCAUGAUUUUCAAAAUGAGGGUAAAACUCAUUUAUGGAGGAGGGGAGGUGUGGAACAAAUUUAGUGGACGAUGACCAGAAUUUCUUUUAAAUGUGAUAUGAAAAAGGACAGAUAAGAAAUUACCAGAGUGAGUUUUGUUCCAACAUUUUUUCCACUUAUAAGUGUGUCACAUGUGGAUGUCACGUGCACAGGUCACUGAUGAGUCAAGAUCACCCUGUACUUCUUAUUGUGAACUGCAAUCAGAACAGAAAGGCUUGACAGAAGUCCAUCAGGAAAGGCAAAUAUGAAGUUAGCAAUUAUACUUGUACGAAGUAGCUUUUAAAAAUAAUGGCCAAGUUGUUUUAAAAGAGAUCAUUAAAUAUAUUAUGAUAUAGCAAUAUCAUGGAAUUCUACCCAGAAACUAAAAUUGUAUUAUAGCUAAAUAUUUAGCAACAUAGUAAUGUAUAAGAUACAUAGGUAACGACAAUAUCAGAUUAUAAAACAUUUGUAAUGUAGUAUUUUUGUGUAAAGUCCACACAUAUAUUUAUAUAGGAAAAGGACUAAAAAGUAGCCAUUAAAUGUUCCUAGAGCAAUCCCACUUUUUCAGGAGGCUGAGGCAGGAGGAUUAUGAGUCCAAGGCCAGCCUGGGCAAUAUAGUGAGACCCUGUCUCAAAACAAAACAAACAAAAGUAAAUAAACAAUAGGUUUCUAAUUGAGUAGGAUAGACUCAGCCUAUCAACAGAUUAGGUUAAAGAAAAUGUGGGAUACAUAUACACAAUGGAGUAUAAUUCAGCCAUAAAGAAGAACAAAAGCCUAUCAUUUGCAGCAAAAGGGAUGGAACUGGAGCCAUUAAGUGAAAUAAGUCAGCCACAGAAAGACAAGUACCACAUGUUCUCUUUCAUAUGUAGAAGCUAAAAAAUGUUGACUUGAAAGUAGAAUGUGUCUACUAGAGAUUGGGAAGAGUGUUGCCAGGGACAUUCAAAAAAGAUAGGUUGGAUUUGGUCAAUGAAUAUUAUAUGCAUGUGGAAACAUCACACUGAACCUCAUGAAUAUGUACAAUUAAUACGUAUUAAUAAAAUUUAAAAAAAUAUAUAUAGAACUCAAAAAAUGUUCCGAGCUGUGGGAACUAUACAAAAAUAUUUUCUUCUUUUG